rnacentral:ncRNA from 1 species
GCAGAGUAGGUAUGUGCGCGUUAUAUACCGGGAUGUUCCGGUAUCAGUGCCAGUUGGACGGGGAGUUGCCACUGGACGAAAAACCAUUUGGUUUACGGUGCAUUUACCGCAUCCCGCUGC